UACGUAGGGUGCGAGCGUUGUCCGGAUUUAUUGGGCGUAAAGAGCUCGUAGGCGGUUUGUCGCGUCGGCCGUGAAAUCUCCACGCUUAACGUGGAGCGUGCGGUCGAUACGGGCAGACUUGAGUUCGGUAGGGGAGACUGGAAUUCCUGGUGUAGCGGUGAAAUGCGAAGAUAUCAGGAGGAACACCGGUGGCGAAGGCGGGUCUCUGGGCCGAUACUGACGCUGAGGAGCGAAAGCGUGGGGAGCGAACAGG
rnacentral:rRNA from 1 species